AAGUGUGAAUGAAUACCUUGUUCAUUAUUGUGGAAACAACUUACGAAAUGAAAAUCUCACUGUUUUUCUUAUUUGUGUUUCUGGCAGCUGUCUGCGUUCUUGAUACUAACGGCCAUUCAUUAACAGAUGGACAUGAAAUAGAAAACGGUGAUGUGGAGGAGCAUGUUGGAAGUCUACGAGUCAGAAGAUCAAGAUGCAAUUCCAGCAAUUGUGGUGGAGACUGUUUUUGUAUUCAAGACUUUUGCUCUUGUCCUGAUCGUAAAUGAAUUAUUUCGAAGCAAUUUACUUAGCUAGAAUGGAAAUACAGAUACGAUUCAACUUGAUUAUUAUUCAACUCGAAUAAAAACGUGAAUACA